CCUACGGGAGGCAGCAGUGAGGAAUAUUGGUCAAUGGCCGUAAGGCUGAACCAGCCAAGUCGCGUGAAUGAAGAAGGAUCUAUGGUUUGUAAACUUCUUUUAUAGGGGAAUAAAGGUAUCCACUUGUGGAUAUUUGCAUGUACCCUAUGAAUAAGCAUCGGCUAACUCCGUGCCAGCAGCCGCGGUAAUACGGAGGAUGCGAGCGUUAUCCGGAUUUAUUGGGUUUAAAGGGGGCGUAGGUUGUUUUUUCAGUCAGCGGUGAACGUUUGGGGCUCAACCAUAACAUUGCUGUUGAAACUGGUUGACUUGAGUAGAGUUGAGGUAGGCGGAAUGCGUGGUGGAGCGGUGAAAUGCUUAGAUAUUACGAAGAACCCCGAGUGCGAAGGCAGCUUACUAAACUGUGACUGACAUUGAGGCUCGAAAGUGUGGGUAUCAAACAGGAUUAGAUACCCCUGUAGUC
rnacentral:rRNA from 1 species